GCGGGGGUUGCCUAGUGGCUGGCUGUUCUGGGAAAACGCCCAUGAAAAGGCGCUGGCCUGGAGAGCCAGUGACCCGAAAGGGUCGCGUGGGUUCAAAUCCCACCCCCCGCGCCA
rnacentral:tRNA from 1 species